GAUGAACGCUGGCGGCGUGCCUAAUACAUGCAAGUCGAGCGAACAGACGAGGAGCUUGCUCCUCUGACGUUAGCGGCGGACGGGUGAGUAACACGUGGAUAACCUACCUAUAAGACUGGGAUAACUUCGGGAAACCGGAGCUAAUACCGGAUAAUAUAUUGAACCGCAUUGUUCAAUAGUGAAAGACGGUUUUGCUGUCACUUAUAGAUGGAUCCGCGCCGCAUUAGCUAGUUGGUAAGGUAACGGCUUACCAAGGCAACGAUGCGUAGCCGACCUGAGAGGGUGAUCGGCCACACUGGAACUGAGACACGGUCCAGACUCCUACGGGAGGCAGCAGUAGGGAAUCUUCCGCAAUGGGCGAAAGCUUGACGGAGCAACGCCGCGUGAGUGAUGAAGGUCUUCGGAUCGUAAAACCCUGUUAUUAGGGAAGAACAAAUGUGUAAGUAACUAUGCACGUCUUGACGGUACCUAAUCAGAAAGCCACGGCUAACUACGUG
rnacentral:rRNA from 1 species